CAGGGACAGUGACAUCAUCAAGUCACUUAGAGCCCAACUUCAAUUUGCCCACAGCAGGGCUGGGAAACACAAGAUCCUGCCCUAGAGCUGAAAUGGGCACCAGGCUCUUCUUCUAUGUGGCCCUUUGUCUGCUGUGGGCAGGACACAGGGAUGCUGAAAUCAUCCAGAGCCCAAGACACAAGAUCACAGAGACAGGAAGGAAGGUGACUUUGACGUGUCACCAGACUUGGAACCACAACAAUAUGUUCUGGUACCGACAAGACCUGGGACACGGGCUGAGACUGAUCCAUUACUCAUAUGGUGUUCCAGACACUAACGAAGGAGAAGUCCCAGAUGGCUACAGUGUCUCUAGAUCGAAUAAAGAGGAUUUCCCCCUCACUGUGGAGUCUGCUGCCUCCUCCCAGACAUCUGUGUAUUUCUGCGCCAGCAGUGAGUCCACAGUGCUGCACAGCUGCCUCCUCUCUGCACAUAAAGGGCAGUUAGAAUGA